AAACAGUGGUGAUAUGAUGCAAUAGUGAUAACAAAUGGAUGCUCAAAACAUGUAAAAUGCACACUUAUCAUAUACUUUGACAAACUGAAGGCUUUUCUUCUAUUCUUAGCAUAGAGGGCGUUUUACCCUUUUCUUUAAAUCAAAAUGCCUAACUCUCGUUGAGUUCUGAACCCUUUACUAGAUUAACACUUUUUUGUAUCCUCCUUAAGAACUCAAAACUCUGACUCUCUUUUCUUUUUUUUUUUCUUUUCUUUUCAUUCUCAUUCUCUUUCCCAUUCAAUCCAUACACAAUCCCAAUCCUAAAUACAAGUAUCCACCUAGUCCUAGCUAACCCAAAAAGUGUGGGCUAGGUCUACAUGAAAGACUGCUCUUGUCGGCUCAUACCUAAUACGUUAAACCAAGCUCAAUCGAAAAAGACCUCAUAAUCACACAUAAAUGAUCUUUGGCUUGAAAUAAGGAUAGGCUCAGGGUAUGGGAAACUGCUCUAAAAAUGAGAGUCAGCUACUUGGAUUAACAAAAGGUGGUGAAGU
rnacentral:sRNA from 1 species